UACGUAGGUCCCGAGCGUUGUCCGGAUUUAUUGGGCGUAAAGCGAGCGCAGGUGGUUUAUUAAGUCUGGUGUAAAAGGCAGUGACUCAACCAUUGUAUGCAUUGGGAACUGGUAGACUUGAGUGCAGGAGAGGAGAGUGGAAUUCCAUGUGUAGCGGUGAAAUGCGUAGAUAUAUGGAGGAACACCGGUGGCGAAAGCGGCUCUCUGGCCUGUAACUGACACUGAGGCUCGAAAGCGUGGGGAGCAAACAGG
rnacentral:rRNA from 1 species